rnacentral:lncRNA from 1 species
GUUGUAUGUGAGUAAGUCAGAGAGAGAGAGAGAGGAGAGAAAAAUCAAAUACAAUUUAUAUGUAACCUAAAAUAUUUUUAUUGUUAAAAAUUAAUUAGUCAGAGAUUCUUUUUGUAUAUAUUGCUAUAUUUUGUUCUUAUAUAUUCUGUAUUUACCCCUUGAUACCAUUGUCAGGUGGUAGUGUAAUGGGGUGUGUAAAAUCCUGACUAUUGAAAAACAAAUAAAAGAUAAAAAAAAAAAAAAAAAAAAAAAAAAAAAAU